rnacentral:lncRNA from 1 species
GCCAGUUGGAAGAGCCACAGAGGUGUCCCUUUGCUCUGUUCUGAAAGCUUGGGGGUUGGGGGGAUCUAGCAGACCUCAGUCACCUGCUGCAGGAAGCGGAUGCUCAAACUGUCACCAGUCCCAGAGUGGUGCACACCUGUAAUCGCAGCAGUCAGGAGAUGCAGGUUGGAGGACCAGGAGUUCAAGGAUAGCCUCGGCCACGUAGGAAGUUUGAGGCCAGCAUGAUCAACAAGAGACUCUAUUUCAGAAAACCAAAACCACACGAUGACAAGAUGUUUCAGAGAAUGCUGUCAUCAACCUAAGUUACAAGGGGAUAUACUGUCUCCUGGCAAAACAGGCGUGAGCUGGGGCAGAGGUGAAUCUCCAAGUCUCUAAAGGAAGUCCUUCCCAGGUAGCUCCCCUAACCUGCCACCCUCAUCAACAAAUUCUCCUCGGGUACAACACAAGAGGCCACAGCACGGAGAGGCACGACUGCUCACUUAUCCAUCACUUAUCCAUCAUGUUAAAGAUUAUCUCGCAGGUUACUCUGUGGAAGGUGACACGGGCCCCCAGUGAACAUCAGUGUCCCCAUGUGCAGUCUGCACAAGGCAACUCAGCAGGGAGAGAGAGGUCCUUGUCUGCUGGCCCCGAGUGGGUGCCUGAGGAGCCACGUGAUGGGAGGAGGGGUCACUCCGUGCAGGACAUAGGCCUCGUGUUUGAACCACACCGGGACUCAGAAAGGACGGCUGGGCGUGGUGAUGGAUCAUGUCUGUAAUCCCAGCUAAGCGGGAGCCAGAACUAAGACAGGUAUAAGAGACAGAACCCAUUUUGGCUGAAUGGGCUUGCUAGCCCAGCUUAGGUUCGAGUUCAUGCUUUGUACAAAAGGACCUGCCUUGCCAAGCUGCUUUCAGUUCGUGUGUCCUUGUAUGACACAGAGGACAAUUUACCAGCUCAUCUAGGACUUCAAAUCUACCUGGGGGAGUGUCUCGAUCCCCCGCCGUGGGGAAGGUGCGCCCCACUCUCAUUGCGAUGACACCCGGGGUCUCCGCUGAACAACACUCCUUUAGAUAAUGAUCUUAGGACAGGAAGUCUCUCAGCAACAGAUGGAGGUGGGAGAAAAUGCCAUGGUGACCAGGAGAUUCUUGUUCCCAAGACCCAGGUAGGAAAUGCCAAGAGUGUCGAAGGUGCUCCUUGGUGUCUGGGGUGGGUGGCCCUUGGGGUUGAGUAAGAGAGUGAAUGAGACUCAUUGUCGACCCCGUGUGAAAAGAACAGAUGGACUCACAGCUCCACACGUGCCCCUGUGGAUUCUGAUUGUCAAGAAGCAUCUAACGUGGGUGCUGGGCAGUGGGGGAGUCAGCUGGAGAAGAAACCAAACGUAGACUACAAGGGACCUCCAUCACCAGGGGCUGAGAUACAAGAGGCCUCUAUAUCUGGGGUUGAAACAUGCCAGGAAUCCAGGACAGGAAGCAGCUAGGUUAAAUAUGGCUCUGAGGAAACGUGGCCCCCAGAGGUGGCUCCAAUUGUUCAGUAGUCACAGAUCGAUCUGAUCCGCUCACACCAAGGUCACUUCUCUUCCCCAGUUUCCCCUUGGGCUCCCCAAAUCACAGCGCCACCUACAGGCUCCACUUCCAAAUCACAGCGCCACCUACAGGCUCCACUUCCAAAUCACAGCGCCACCUACAGGCUCCACUUCCAAACCACAGCGCCACCUACAGGCUCCACUUCCAAA